rnacentral:rRNA from 1 species
AUGGCGGCCGUGCAGCGCCGCCAACCCCUCCCGCCCGCCUCGCAUCAGCUGCGCCGCGCCGAUCCUGCGUGUCCCGGCACCGCGCCCCCGCCGGUCUGCCGCUACUGGAAGUCCGGCCACUGCGGCCGGAACCCCUGCCGGUUCCUCCACGCCGAUCCGGCGCCGCCGCCGCCGGUCGUCGUCGUCGCCAAGAAGCGCAGCAACACCUGGGUCAACACCUCCUCCAAAAUCGCCAAGCCCAGCGCCACAACCGAUGAAGGAGAGGCUGCGGUUCCUCCGGUGCCGCCGCCGACGAAGGCCAAACCCAGCCCCGCAACCAAUGCCCGCGAGGCCGCGGUCCCUUUGCCGCCUCCCGAGCGCGUCCAGGAACCACCCGGCAGUGGCGCGUGGUGCGUAGGCGACGGCAUCCGCGGCGUCGCCCGGCUCGAGGGCCACUCCAAGGCGGUCACCGGCGUCGCCGUUCCCGAAGGGUCCGGCAAGCUCUUCUCCGGCAGCCUGGACGGCACGGUGCGCGCCUGGGACUGCGCUACCGGGCAGUGCGUCCGCGUCGCGCCGGUGCAGGAAGGGGAGGUGGGCCGCCUGAUCGCCAUGGGCCCGUGGGUGCUCGUCCGCGUCCGCGGCGCCGUCAGGGCGUUCCAAGCGGGGAGCGGCGAGGAGCUGCGGCUGCGGCUGCCCGUCGCCGCCGCGCAGGUCACUGCCCUACUUGCAGAGGACGACGAGCGCCUCUUCGCCGGCGUGGAGGACGGCGCCAUCUACAUGUGGAGGCUGGACCCAGGGCGCCAGCGGUUCGACGAGGUCGCCGCGCUCGCGGGCCACGACGGGCACGCCGUCGCGUCGCUGGCCCAGGGGAAGGGCGCGCUCUACUCCGGCGCGGCGGACGGCGGCAUCAGGGUCUGGGACCUCGAGACGCGCCGGUGCGUCUGCAGCUUCGCCGGCCACGCGUCCAUGGUCACCGCGCUGCUGUGCUGGGACCGUUUCCUGCUCUCCUCGUCCGUCGACGGCACCGUGAAGGCAUGGAGGUCCAAGCCGGACCGCGCCGGCGACGUCGAGCCCGAGCUGGAGGUGCACUACACCCACAGAGAAGAAGGCGAGCGGGUGGUCGCCAUGGACGGGACGCACGACGCCGACAAGAAGCCCGUCCUGCUCGUCUCGCGCGGCGACGGAGUCGUCCGAGUCUGCGACCUCCCGUCGUUCAAGCCCAGAGGGCAGAUUCGCUGCAACGGCGAGGUCACAGCAAUGUCACUCAGGACCCCCGGUGUGAUCUUCACCGGGGACAAGUCCGGCGAGGUCAGAGUGGUGAAGUGGACGCCGGCAGCUGCAGCCUGA